AGGGGUAUAGUUCUUCGGAACUAGAGACCGGCGCACGGGUGCGUAACGCGUAUGCAAUCUACCUUUUACAGAGGGAUAGCCCAGAGAAAUUUGGAUUAAUACCUCAUAGCAUAGCAAUCUCGCAUGAGAUCACUAUUAAAGUCACAACGGUAAAAGAUGAGCAUGCGUCCCAUUAGCUAGUUGGUAAGGUAACGGCUUACCAAGGCUACGAUGGGUAGGGGUCCUGAGAGGGAGAUCCCCCACACUGGUACUGAGACACGGACCAGACUCCUACGGGAGGCAGCAGUGAGGAAUAUUGGACAAUGGGCGCAAGCCUGAUCCAGCCAUGCCGCGUGCAGGAUGACGGUCCUAUGGAUUGUAAACUGCUUUUAUACGAGAAGAAACACUCCGACGUGUCGGAGCUUGACGGUAUCGUAAGAAUAAGGAUCGGCUAACUCCGUGCCAGCAGCCGCGGUAAUACGGAGGAUCCAAGCGUUAUCCGGAAUCAUUGGGUUUAAAGGGUCCGUAGGCGGUUUAGUAAGUCAGUGGUGAAAGCCCAUCGCUCAACGGUGGAACGGCCAUUGAUACUGCUAAACUUGAAUUAUUAGGAAGUAACUAGAAUAUGUAGUGUAGCGGUGAAAUGCUUAG
rnacentral:rRNA from 1 species